rnacentral:rRNA from 1 species
UGGAGGCAGCAGUAAGGAAUAUUGGACAAUGGGGCAACCCUGAUCCAGCAAUGCCGCGUGUGUGAAGAAGGCCUGCGGGUUGUAAAGCACUUUCGGUGGGGAAGAACGCGUUCCAACCUAAUACGUUGGAGCAGUGACGGUACCCAAAGAAGAAGCACCGGCUAACUCUGUGCCAGCAGCCGCGGUAAUACAGAGGGUGCAAGCGUUAAUCGGAAUUACUGGGCGUAAAGCGCACGUAGGUGGCUAUAUAAGUCGGAUGUGAAAUCCCCGGGCUUAACCUGGGAACUGCAUUCGAUACUGCAUAGCUAGAGUCUGGUAGAGGGUGGUGGAAUUCCAGGUGUAGCGGUGAAAUGCGUAGAUAUCUGGAGGAACAUCAGUGGCGAAGGCGGCCACCUGGACUGAGACUGACACUGAGGUGCGAAAGCGUGGGGAGCAAACAGGAUUAGAUACCCCGGUAU